rnacentral:lncRNA from 1 species
CGUGUGUCUGUUGACAGAACUGGCAGCUCGAACCAAAUACGAACGGAUGGGUCUGAUAUAGUUCCCUGACGGAAAGAAAUCCUACAUCUGAUCGAUUUGUCUGAAAUGUUUGGUUUGUCCAAAGUUCAUUCUUUUUUCUCUUCACAGAAAAUCAUCAUGCAUAUUCCCAUCAGACUGCACAUGAGCAUGCACUUUUACAAGGCAAAAGAGUGGUGCAGGUCUCCGAGUACCACAAAAGACCCUGAAUCUUCUCCUGGCAGAAGUGAGAAUCUUCAGGAAUAACACAGGGCUUACUCAUGAGACCCAUGGGCCAGCAGACCUUAUAAGCUCUGGAAAAUGUGUCACCCUUUACAGCUGUUUGCUUGAGCCUUCUUAAUGUUAAUAAAAAUAGAUCAAGGUUGUGGCCAUUUGUCUCCUGCAGCAUCUGAAGGAGGGAUGGCGAAGAGAACACGUGAGAUGUGCGUUUCGCUUUUUGUUUUCUCUGAGGAGCUCUAGUGUGAUUUCCCAUCCAUCAUAGCGAGUCUUUACAGUCUCAACCAUCCAAACGCCGAACAGGAUGGAGCUUCUGCACAUACUUCUGAAAGUGUCUCAGAGUGGAGCAGUUUUUGAAGUCUGCCGCAAAUGUGCUAAUUAUUGUAAGUACAUGCUGGUAGAACUGCCUUCUCACCACUAGAGGUCAGAGACCCUUACUGGAAUCAUUUUUCAUUCCUAAAUGUGAAUCCAACACAGCAUUACGAUUCAACAAUGAUGAUUAAACUGUGGUUCUGAAUAAACAAUACUUUAUAAACUAUACUUUCAGAAAACAUAAGCUGCAGAUAAAAGGUAAUUGUAAAAUGUACAAGUACAUUUACAAGUACAAGUAGUCACAUUAAAUUGUACUUGAAUAAAAGUACAAAUCCCCCAAAAUAAUACUUAAGUUCAGUAAUCAAGUAAAAUUACUCCAGUAUUCUACACCCUUGUUCAUUCAUUAGUACAAAACAAUUCCAUAUCUGGAACAUACUGUAGCUUGUGACCA